rnacentral:rRNA from 1 species
UACGAAGGGUGCAAGCGUUAAUCGGAAUUACUGGGCGUAAAGCGUGCGUAGGUGGUCUUUUAAGUCCGUUGUGAAAGCCCUGGGCUCAACCUGGGAAUGGCAGUGGAUACUGGAAGGCUGGAGUACGGUAGAGGAGGGUGGAAUUCCCGGUGUAGCGGUGAAAUGCGUAGAGAUCGGGAGGAACAUCAGUGGCGAAGGCGGAUCUCUGGGCCUUACCUGACGCUCAGGCGCGAAAGCUAGGGGAGCGAACUGG